rnacentral:rRNA from 1 species
GAUAAACGCUGGCGGCGUGCAUGAGACAUGCAAGUCGAACGAAGGAUCGGGCGUUCGCGAUCCUUAGGGGCGGACGGCGGGGUAACGCGCAGGUGACCUACCCCGAAGUGGGGGAUAACUGCCCGAAAGGGUGGCGAAUACCGCGGGGGGUCGCACGAUCACUCGUGCGAGGACAGGCGCAAGGCGCGUCGGGUGGGUCCUGCUUCCGUUUAGCUCGGCGGUGGGGUAAUGGCUUACCAAGGCGACGAUCGGUAGCUGGUCUGAGAGGACGAUCACCCAGACUGGGACUGAGACACGGCCCAGACUCCUACGGGAGGCAGCAGUCGGGAAUUUUGCUCAAUGGGGGAAACCCUGACGCAGCCACGCCGCGUGAGGGAUGAAGGCCUUCGGGUUGUAAACCUCUUUUGUCAGGGACGAUGAUGACGGUACCUGGCGAAUAAGCCACGGCUAACUACGUG